GUGGCAUUCCACUCCGCUCCUGCUUCACCGCGCACCUCCGCUCGACGAAGCGUCGCAAGCCCAAUCGUCCAAAGCUGCACUCCCAGUCUAGCCCAGUUGUUGUGGAUUGCCUUUGCUGGCGAACCUUCUGUCGGGUGGUCCCGCCUCCGCCGCCCCCGCUGCCGCCAUGCCGCCCCCGCGGCUGCGCCCGCCCGCGCCCUGCCUGCUGCUGGCGGCGUCGCUGCUGCUGGCGUCCGCCACCCC